rnacentral:rRNA from 1 species
AACGAACGCUGGCGGCAUGCCUAACACAUGCAAGUCGAACGAGACCUUCUGGUCUUUUGGCGCACGGGUGCGUAACGCGUGGGAUCCUUCCCUUAGGUUCGGCAUAACUCUCCGACAGGGGUGCUAAUACCGGAUUAUGUCUUCGGCUCAAUGAUUUAUCGCCUUUGGAUGGGCCCUCGUUGGAUUGGCUAGUUGGUAUGGUAAAAGCCUACCAAGGAGCCGUUCCAUAGCUGGGCGGGGAGGCGGCCAAGCCACACUGGGACUGCGACACGGCCCAGAAUGCGACGGGAGGGAGGAGUGGGGAAUAUUGGGCAAGGGGCGAAGGCCUGACCAAGCAGUGCCGGGGAAGAGAGGAAGGCGUUAGGGUUGUAAUGCUCUGUUGCACGAGACGAUAGUGACGGUACCGGGAGAAGAAGCGCCGGCUAACUCCGUG